rnacentral:rRNA from 1 species
AACGUAGGAGACAAACGUUAGUCCGGAGUUACUGGGCGUAAAGGGCGUGUAGGUGGUAUGUAAGUCUGGCGUGAAAUUUCUCGGCUUAACCGAGGCAGGUCGUCGGAUACUGCGAGGCUAGAGGACGGUAGAGGCGUGUGGAAUUCCGGGUGUAGUGGUGAAAUGCGUAGAGAUCCGGAGGAACACCAGUGGCGAAGGCGACACGCUGGGCCGUACCUGACACUGAUGCGCGACAGCAUGGGGAGCAAACAGGG